AAUGACGUGAGUUUAUAUUUUUGGAAUCAGUAAUUUUGAUUUUUUUUUGAUUAAGAUUGAUUUUUAUUGGGUGAAAUUUUAAAUUUUAAUAUUAAUUUAUUUUUUGUUAAAGAUUCUGGGAAAUUCUUUUUUAAACUAGGAUUAGAUACCCUAUUAUUUAGAAUGUAAAUUUUUAAUUCCAGAUUAGUAUUAGUUAUGUUCUUGAAAAUUAAAGAUUUUGGCGGUAUUUUAUUCUAUUCAGAGGAACCUGUCCUGUAAUCGAUAUUCCACGAUAAAUUCUACUUUUUCUUAGUUUGCAUAUCGUCGUAGUUUGAAUAUUUUAAAAGGAUUUAAAUAUUCUUGAUUUUAAUUUGAAAAAAAAUCAGAUCAAGGUGUAGCGUAUGGAAAAGUUAGUGAUGGGUUACAUUAUCUUUAUUUAAGGGAUUGUUUUUAGAAUAAAUUCAUGAAUUCGGAUUUGAUUGUAAUUUUAAAUAUUUUAUUAAGAUGAAGAGAGCUCUAAAAUAUGCACAUAUCGCCCGUCGCUUUCACUUUAAGGUGAAAUAAGUCGUAACAAAGUAGGCUUACUGGAAAGUGUGCCUAGAAAGACGGGUUAGAGCUUGAUAUAAAGCAUUUUAUUUACAUUAAAAAGUUAGUUGUGAAAUUCAGCUUGACUUGAGUUUAUUUGAUUAAUUUUUAUUAAUAUUUUAUUUUUUUUAUAAUUAGAAUUUUAUCUUUUAUUAUUUUAAAAAAUUAUUAUUAUUUAUAGUUAAUUAGUACUGUGAGGGAUCUCUUAUAAAUUUAUAUAAGAAAAAUUUAAUUUU
rnacentral:rRNA from 1 species